UUCCGGUUGAUCCUGCCGGAGGCCAUUGCUAUUGGAGUCCGAUUUAGCCAUGCUAGUCGCACGGGUUCAGGCCCGUGGCGAAUAGCUCCGUAACACGUGGCCAAACUACCCUACAGAGACGGAUACCCUCGGGAAACUGAGGUUAACCCGUCAUACCGAUCUCAGGCUUGAAUCGCAGAGAUCACAAAAUGCCCCGGCGCUGUAGGAUGUGGCUGCGGUUGAUUAGGUAGACGGUGGGGUAACGGCCCACCGUGCCCAUAAUCAGUACAGGUUGUGAGAGCAAGAACCUGGAGACGGAAUCUGAGACAAGAUUCCGGGCCCUACGGGGCGCAGCAGGCGCGAAACCUUUACACUGCACGCACGUGCGAUAAGGGGACUCCGAGUGCGAGGGCAUAUCGUCCUCGCUUUCGUGUACCGUAGGGUGGUACACCAACAAGGGCUGGGCAAGACCGGUGCCAGCCGCCGCGGUAAUACCGGCAGCCCGAGUGAUGGCCGAUCUUAUUGGGCCUAAAGCGUCCGUAGCUGGCUGCGCAAGUCCGUCGGGAAAUCCACUCGCCCAACGAGUGGGCGUCCGACGGAAACUGCAUAGCUUGGGACCGGAAGGCUCGAAGGGUACGUUCGGGGUAGGAGUGAAAUCCCAUAAUCCCGCACGGACCACCGAUGGCGAAAGCACUUCGAGAAAACGGAUCCGACAGUGAGGGACGAAAGCCAGGGUCUCCAACCGGAUUAGAUACCCGGGUAGUCCUAGCCGUAAACAAUGUUCGCUAGGUAUGACACAGACUACGCGUCUCUGUUGUGCCGUAGGGAAGCCGAGAAGCGAACCGCCUGGGAAGUACGUCUGCAAGGAUGAAACUUAAAGGAAUUGGCGGGGGAGCACUACAACCGGAGGAGCCUGCGGUUUAAUUGGAUUCAACGCCGGG
rnacentral:rRNA from 1 species